UUUGUUUUUUCACAAUUUCAAACACCUACGAAAUUUGAGUACUCCUCUUAUAUAUGAAAUACCCCAGCGUCUACGGCAGCAACUUCCUUUGCUUCUCAAUCCUUAUUCACCCCAACCCUACCUCGAAUACAUUGAAUUAAGGCCCCCCACCAGCCAAUAGAAGCUCUCACAUCUCGUGCUCCAACGAAGACUGCUCAGCUCGCGUCGCAUUCUGGGUCUCUAGAAGCUGCUGGUCGCUCAGGUGUCUCCACUCGCAUGGUCGUCGUUGGGUCAAGAUUACUGUUGGCCCAUCUUCUCUGCUCCGGAAACCAUUCUUCUUUCUUUCAAUAAAAUGGAUGAUGUUAAAAUGUAAUUACAGUAGCUGCUCUUAUUGUCAAUGAAAUUUGUAUUAUUACUGCAGAAGUUAGCUUUCAUCCCUCCAAAAAUUGAGUUAAGCUCUCUUAUCCCAGCCUGGUCAGCAACAAUCAACACAGUGCCCUUUAUCUUUUAAGAUGGCUAGAAAAGGUCGUUACACGAAAAAAUCGAAAUUAAGACCAGGGUGUCAGCAACCACAAACGGCUCCGCCUCUGGUCUCGGCUUCCCACCGCGAUGACUCUCAAAUUCUCCCGGACAGUGGUGAUAUGUACCAAGGCCUGCUCCACAAACGAGCACAAAUAACAUUCAGAACUCGGAGCCAGGCCACGUAAACUUGGCAGCUAAUGCUAAUGAUGUAGAUUCUAUUGAUCAAGAAGCUGAUGACCCCUUUGUUGAUUCUAGAGCUCAGAAUUGCAAAGUACGCAAGACUACAGAGUUUUGGGAAGUUAAGAUCAUCGACUCCGAUGGCAUAAUCAAGCCGGCAAGACUAAGCAUGACGAAGGCUAUGGAACGGCCUAACGGUAGAAAGAUCGUGCUCAGGUUCAACAAUGCAAAGCAAGCAAUUGGAAAUGAAGCUGGACUGUUGAGUGGCGUGCUUGGUCUGCUAGGAUCUGACUUUGGAAAAUUUUCUAUCUGUGGGAAAAGUUGGCGUAAGAUUACCACUAAAGAUAAGGUUUAUAACAAAUGUGUCAAGGUAAAAGUUUAUAUCCCUUUUGAAAUAAAUCUGCUUAUUUUUAUAA